GGAAAACCUGGGGGAAUUGUUGACCAUGGCUUGGAGAGGAGGGAGUGUGUGGACCAAACACUUCCAACAACCUGAUGCAGUGGGAGCUGCGUGGGUGAUAAACACAGCGGCGAACAAUCCUGUUGUAGGCCGCUAGCUCAGUGGCUAACUGCUACCGGGAGUCGACGGGAGGUCGGCGGCCAGCCAGCACAAAGAGCGAGGGCCGCGGUGUGGAUUAUCCGACCUCGGGGAAGACGUGGGAAGGAACCGGAGAGGCUACGGCAAGGACGGCUUCCUUUGGGGACAUUGUCAGGAGAUUGGGGACAUGGUCAUCGGGGACGUUCACGGGCUUUUUGCACCUUUACCUAAUAAAAUAGUUAACAAGUGAGAACAGAAAAGAAAGACAAGCGGCAAAUGGCGACAUGACUGGCUCCAACCUUUACCAGCUGAGUGGACAACUUCAAGUGCAUGUGGGGUCCACUCUCUGCCAGAGAAGCACUCACAACUGUUGUCUGAGUGC